GGAGAGAUGCUGGAGCGACUGACCGAACCCGUCCCGAAAACGGGAGUAGGGCAAUGCUACCGGGGGUUCAAAUCCCCCCGUCUCUCUA
rnacentral:tRNA from 1 species